UAAAACCUGCUGCUCUGAAGGUGCCAGCGUCGCUGAGGGAAUUUAUCAAUGUGGAAUGCUCAUCACCUCAUAGGGAAGAUCUGAACCAAGUGAAUGCAAGGAUUUUUUGGCAAUGUCUAGCUCAAUCUCACCUUCGAGAAAAUGUAAUAUUUUUCCUCCGGAGUUAGUCUACACUAUCCAGGUUGUAUGCUACUACUGAGAUCCCAUCAAGGAUGAUCUGAAGCACUCCAAAGAAGCGAAGGGCAGAAGAAGCUUCAUUUCUCAUUGAUGUUAUGUGUGAUCAACUAAAAUUUGCCCAUCUGGUCCGAUCUUUGUAGAACUAUGUUGUUGUGCGCCUGUGCACUUGUUGAGUC